GUUGUUGCGGUUAAAAGCUCGUAGUUGGAUUUCUGUCGAGGGCGAUCCGUCCGCACUAAGUGCGUGUAUCUGUUAUCUCUUGGCAUCCUCUUGGGGAACGUUUCCCCGCUUGAUUGCGUGGGGCGGAAUUCAAGACUUUUACUUUGAGGAAAUUAGAGUGUUCACGGCAAGCUAUCGCUUUGAAUACAUUAGCAUGGAAUAAUAAUAUAGGGCGUAAGCUUUAUUUUGUUUUUUUCUAGAGCAUACGCAAUGAUUAAUAGGGAUAAUUGGGGGCAUUCGUAUUGAUGCGUC
rnacentral:rRNA from 1 species